rnacentral:rRNA from 1 species
UACGUAGGGGGCAAGCGUUGUCCGGAAUCAUUGGGCGUAAAGAGCGUGUAGGCGGCCUGAUAAGUCGGCUGUGAAAGUCAAGGGCUCAACCCUUGAAUGCCGGCCGAUGCUGUCAGGCUAGAGUCCGGAAGAGGCGAGUGGAAUUCCUGGUGUAGCGGUGAAAUGCGCAGAUAUCAGGAGGAACACCUAUGGCGAAGGCAGCUCGCUGGGACGGUACUGACGCUGAGACGCGAAAGCGUGGGGAGCGAACAGG